GGGCACUCUAGCCAGACUGCCGGUGAUAAAUCGGAGGAAGGUGGGGACGACGUCAAAUCAUCAUGCCCUUUAUGUCCUGGGCUACACACGUACUACAAUGGCCGUUACAACGGGAAGCGAAGGAGCAAUCCGGAGCAAAUCCCUUAAAGGCGGUCCCAGUUCAGAUUGUGGGCUGAAACUCGCCCACAUGAAGGCGGAAUUGCUAGUAAUCGCGGAUCAGCACGCCGCGGUGAAUACGUUCCCGGGCCUU
rnacentral:rRNA from 1 species